GUUAACGCGGAUAAUGCUGAUAUAUUUUAAAGUACAGCAUACGGUGGUUUGUUUAAUUCACUGCUUUAAAAACGGUAAAGGAAACAGACGACUAAUUAAUUGGUUUUGUAAGUAAGGACUGCUGUACAGAGAUCCGCCCUGCUCCUGCUCCUGCUGCUGCUGCUGUGGGAGGAAGAUGAAGCUUCAGCACACUGCAGAUCAGACGGGCUUAAACGGUGUUGGACAAGUGGGAGGUGUAUUGUCUCCAAUGAUAAGAUAGCUUCUUCAAGCAGGGAUGCUGAACUUUUAUUCAUGCCUCAUGAAUUCAUGAGCUUUUUUUUGUUUGUUUUUGCUGUAGGGAAAUAGAGGUUCAUUGGAAAUGUUUUAUUUUAUCAUGAUAAUUUUAUUGUUAAAACAUUGGAUAAACAUUUCUAUUGUGUUCUGUAUGUUUGUGAUUGUGUACUUUCAUAAAGUGAUCUAUUAGGUAGUGACUGUUAAAUUACUAUUUAGGAUACUAUAAUCCAACGCAGAUCUGUCAGAGUAAGUGUUACACUUUAAAAUAAGUGGACAGUUCCUGUGUAGUUAUUGUGUAAGUACUGUGUAAGUACAUUGCUGUUACAUAUGAUAUAUGUGUACCAAACCUAAAUACAUUUAUUCGAAAAUAAGUAUUUUAAAUGUUACACUUUAAAAUAAGUGGACAGUUCCUGUGUAUUUAUUGUGUAAGUACUGUGUAAGUACAUUGCUGUUACAUAUGAUAUAUGUGUACCAAACCUAAAUACAUUUAUUCGAAAAUAAGUAUUUUAAAUGUUACACUUUAAAAUAAGUGGACAGUUCCUGUGUAGUUAUUGUGUAAGUACUGUGUAAGUACAUUGCUGUUACAUAUGAAAUAUGUGUACCAAAGUUAAAAAUAUAUAUCCCACAGUAAGUACAUUAAAUGUUACACUUUAAAAUAA